GAGAGAGAGAGAGAGAGAGAGGAUAGAAUGACAGAAAAGAAAACAAUGAAAGAAAAAGAGGAGAAAAGAGAAUGCAUGACAGGAAAGAGUAAGAUAAAGAAAACAAAGAAAGAGAAAAGAAGAGAAAAGAGAAUGGAUGACAGGAAAGAGAGUGAGAUAAAGGAGUAAACAAAUGAAUGAAGCGAAAGAAAGGUGAGAAGAAUGGAGAUAAUGAAGGGAGUAGCAAGAGAAUGAUAAGGGGGGGCAAUGAAGGGAAAUAUUAUGGUAAUGAAUGUGAUGAUAAUGAAGGAAUGAAUGACGAGUAGUGAUGAGUCCGUGGGUCAGUGAUGCCAUGAAGAGAAUGGUUGGGUAAGAGCGAAAUUGAUAGGAGGUAGAGGACAAAAUAAAGGAAGGAUAAGAAAAAGAAGAUGGAGAAGAGAGGAAAUUUGACUUCUUCUUUUGACCUGUAACGCCUUGUAUCGCUUCUUAGGUCCUCCUCCUCUCGUUCCUCCCUUCCUCUUAUUCACACACUUUCCUUUUCAGUGCUACGUAAUUUUCUUAACUGAUAUAAAGUCACUUAUAUUCACUUAUUCAGACAUUUGUGCCCUUUUGUCCCAGCACUGCGCGAGGAACACUUUUGCCAACUUUACCAUCCCUCUCUCUGUUUCCUUUUUGGGCCGGUUUCACAGUUCCCCAUGACGGGUUAGUAAGCUCCCAAACCAAUACCAGAGCCUUCGAAAUUUCCUUGUAUAGUGUCUGGUGUUUAUAUUUAAGUUCACAAAUUUGAUGAAGCCAUACAGGAAAAGUCUUGUGUAUUUAGUGUGGCAUCGAAGACCUCCCCAUUUUGGAUUGUAUGGGAUUCUAUAGUUUGGUUCGGGCUGUUACGAAGACACUGUGUUUGUCCCCUUAAACCCCCAACACCAUGCAGAUCGCCCCGUAGGUAGAGGACAAAAUAAAGGAAGGAUGAGAAAAAAGAAGAUGGAUAAGAGAGGAAAUUUGACUGAAUAAGAGAACAAUAAGAGGAACAAGAACAUACGAGUACUUAUAAGAAAGAGAAAAGAUGAAAGAUAAAGAAGAAAAAUUUGACUGAAUAGGAAAACAAAAGGAACAAGCAUAUACGAGUACUUACAGGAAAGAUAAGAAAUUAAAGAUGAAGAAAAAUACGAACAAAAUUGAUAAAUGAAAGCGGGAAAACAAUAAAUAGAAGGAAGGAAUGAGAGUAAGAAGAGAGAGAGGAGAGAUAAUAACACUUAGAAAAAGGAUAAAAAUAACGAGCAGAACAUAAACAAAGUAAAGAGGAGAAAUAAGAGUCAGAUAAGGAGGAAAAGGAAUGAGGAAGAUGAGAGGUUAUAAGACUUGGAAAAGGAAACAAACAAGAGGAACAAGAACAGAAUCAAAAGAAUGGAUAAGCAAGAGACGAGGAGAGAAAGGAAUGAGAAGAGAAAAAGGAGAGGAAAUAGACAACUGCAAAAAAAGAAAA